rnacentral:rRNA from 1 species
CACGAAGGGAGCAAGCGUUGUCCGGAGUUAUUGGGCGGAAAGAGCUCGUAGGCGGUUCGAUAAGGCAGGUGUGAAAACUCUGGGCUCAACUCAGAGACGCCACUUGAUACUGUCGUGACUUGAAUCUGGUAGGGGAGUGUGGAAUUCCCGGUGUAGCGGUGAAAUGCGCAGAUAUCGGGAGGAACACCAGUGGCGAAGGCGGCACUCUGGGCCAGUAUUGACGCUGAGGAGCGAAAGCGUGGGGAGCGAACAGG